rnacentral:rRNA from 1 species
AUUAGCUAGUUGGUGAGGUAAAGGCUCACCAAGGCGACUAUCUCUAGCUGUUCUGAGAGGAAGAUCAGCCACACUGGGACUGAGACACGGCCCAGACUCCUACGGGAGGCAGCAGUGGGGAAUAUUGCACAAUGGGGGAAACCCUGAUGCAGCCAUGCCGCGUGUGUGAAGAAGGCCUUCGGGUUGUAAAGCACUUUCAGUUGUGAGGAAAAGUUAGUAGUUAAUACCUGCUUGCCGUGACUUUAACAACAGAAGAAUCACCGGCUAACUCCGUGCCUGCUGCCG